rnacentral:rRNA from 1 species
UACGGGGGGAGCAAGCGUUGUUCGGAUUUACUGGGCGUAAAGGGCGCGUAGGCGGCCAGCACAAGUCAGUUGUGAAAUCUCCGAGCUUAACUCGGAACGGUCAACUGAUACUGUGCGGCUAGAGUGCGGAAGGGGCAACUGGAAUUCUUGGUGUAGCGGUGAAAUGCGUAGAUAUCGAGAGGAACACCUGCGGCGAAGGCGGGUUGCUGGGCCGACACUGACGCUGAGGCGCGACAGCGUGGGGAGCAAACAGG